rnacentral:rRNA from 1 species
AUACGGAGGGUGCAAGCGUUAUCCGGAUUCAUUGGGUUUAAAGGGUGCGCAGGUGGGAAUGUAAGUCAGUGGUGAAAUACUGCCGCUUAACGGUAGAACUGCCAUUGAUACUGCGUUUCUUGAGUAUGGUUGAGGUAGGUGGAAUGUGUUGUGUAGCGGUGAAAUGCAUAGAUAUGACACAGAACGCCGAUUGCGAAGGCAACUUACUAAGCCAUUACUGACGCUGAGGCACGAAAGCGUGGGUAGCGAACAGGAUUAGAUACCCUGGUAGUCCACGCUGUAAACGAUGUUCACUCGCUGUUUGCGAUACACAGUAAGCGGCUGAGCGAAAGCAUUAAGUGAACCACCUGGGGAGUACGAUCGCAAGGUUGAA